UACGAAGGGGGCUAGCGUUGUUCGGAAUUACUGGGCGUAAAGCGCACGUAGGCGGGUUGUUAAGUCAGGGGUGAAAUCCCGAGGCUCAACCUCGGAACUGCCUUUGAUACUUGCAACCUUCGAGUCCGGGAGAGGUGAGUGGAACUCCGAGUGUAGAGGUGAAAUUCGUAGAUAUUCGGAAGAACACCAGUGGCGAAGGCGGCUCACUGGCCCGGUACUGACGCUGAGGUGCGAAAGCGUGGGGAGCAAACAGG
rnacentral:misc_RNA from 1 species